GCCUACCACGGCUGACGACCUCCACCUGCCCGGGUUUAUUGUUCGGAGUGUGCUCUCCUAGGCAGAUUGCCUACCACGGCUGACGACCUCCACCUGGCCGGGUUUAUUGUUCGGAGUUUGCUCUCCUAGGUGAACUGCCUAUCACGGCUGACGACCUCCACCUGGCCGGGUUUAUUGUUCGGAGUUUGCUCUCCUAGGCAGAUUGCCUACCACGGCUGACGACCUCCACCUGGCCGGGUUUAUUGUUCGGAGUUUGCUCUCCUAGGUGAACUGCCUACCACGGCUGACGACCUCCACCUGGCCGGGUUUAUUGUUCGGAGUUUGCUCUCCUAGGUGAACUGCCUACCACGGCUGACGACCUCCACCUGGCCGGGUUUAUUGUUCGGAGUUUGCUCUCCUAGGUAAAAUGCUCACGCUAACGAGCUCCACCUGCCCGGGUUUUUUGCUCGGAGUUUGCUCUCCUAGGUGAACUGCCUACCACGGCUAACGAGCCCCACCUGCCCGGGUUUGUUUAGAGUUUCCUCUCCUAGGUGAACUGCCUACCACGGCUAACGAGCUCCACCUGCCCGGGUUUGUUUAGAGUUUGCUCUCCUAGGUGAAUUACCUACCACGGCGAACGACCUCCACCUGCCCGGGUUUGUUUAGAGUUUGCUCUCCUAGGUGAAUUGCCUCCCACGGCUAACGACCUCCACCUGCCCGGGUUUAUUGUUCGGAGUUUGCUCUCCUAGGUGAACUGCCUACCACGGCUAACGAGCCUCACCUGCCCGGGUUUGUUUAGAGUUUGCUCUCCUAGGCAGAUUGCCUACCACGGCUAACGAGCUCCACCUGCCCGGGUUUAUUGUUCGGAGUUUGCUCUCCUAGGCAGACUGCCUACCACGGCUAACGAGCUCCACCUGCCCGGGUUU